rnacentral:rRNA from 1 species
ACGAACGCUGGCGGCGUGCCUAAUACAUGCAAGUCGAACGCUUCUUUUUCCACCGGAGCUUGCUCCACCGGAAAAAGAGGAGUGGCGAACGGGUGAGUAACACGUGGGUAACCUGCCCAUCAGAAGGGGAUAACACUUGGAAACAGGUGCUAAUACCGUAUAACAAUCGAAACCGCAUGGUUUUGAUUUGAAAGGCGCUUUCGGGUGUCGCUGAUGGAUGGACCCGCGGUGCAUUAGCUAGUUGGUGAGGUAACGGCUCACCAAGGCGACGAUGCAUAGCCGACCUGAGAGGGUGAUCGGCCACAUUGGGACUGAGACACGGCCCAAACUCCUACGGGAGGCAGCAGUAGGGAAUCUUCGGCAAUGGACGAAAGUCUGACCGAGCAACGCCGCGUGAGUGAAGAAGGUUUUCGGAUCGUAAAACUCUGUUGUUAGAGAAGAACAAGGAUGAGAGUAACUGUUCAUCCCUUGACGGUAUCUAACCAGAAAGCCACGGCUAACUACGUGCCAGCAGCCGCGGUAAUACGUAGGUGGCAAGCGUUGUCCGGAUUUAUUGGGCGUAAAGCGAGCGCAGGCGGUUUCUUAAGUCUGAUGUGAAAGCCCCCGGCUCAACCGGGGAGGGUCAUUGGAAACUGGGAGACUUGAGUGCAGAAGAGGAGAGUGGAAUUCCAUGUGUAGCGGUGAAAUGCGUAGAUAUAUGGAGGAACACCAGUGGCGAAGGCGGCUCUCUGGUCUGUAACUGACGCUGAGGCUCGAAAGCGUGGGGAGCAAACAGGAUUAGAUACCCUGGUAGUCCACGCCGUAAACGAUGAGUGCUAAGUGUUGGAGGGUUUCCGCCCUUCAGUGCUGCAGCUAACGCAUUAAGCACUCCGCCUGGGGAGUACGACCGCAAGGUUGAAACUCAAAGGAAUUGACGGGGGCCCGCACAAGCGGUGGAGCAUGUGGUUUAAUUCGAAGCAACGCGAAGAACCUUACCAGGUCUUGACAUCCUUUGACCACUCUAGAGAUAGAGCUUCCCCUUCGGGGGCAAAGUGACAGGUGGUGCAUGGUUGUCGUCAGCUCGUGUCGUGAGAUGUUGGGUUAAGUCCCGCAACGAGCGCAACCCUUAUUGUUAGUUGCCAUCAUUUAGUUGGGCACUCUAGCAAGACUGCCGGUGACAAACCGGAGGAAGGUGGGGAUGACGUCAAAUCAUCAUGCCCCUUAUGACCUGGGCUACACACGUGCUACAAUGGGAAGUACAACGAGUCGCAAAGUCGCGAGGCUAAGCUAAUCUCUUAAAGCUUCUCUCAGUUCGGAUUGUAGGCUGCAACUCGCCUACAUGAAGCCGGAAUCGCUAGUAAUCGCGGAUCAGCACGCCGCGGUGAAUACGUUCCCGGGCCUUGUACACACCGCCCGUCACACCAUGAGAGCCGGGGGGACCCGAAGUCGGUAGUCUAACCGCAAGGAGGACGCCGCCGAAGGUAAAACUGGUGAUUGGGGUG